rnacentral:snoRNA from 1 species
CUGUGAAUGUUCUUGUUGUUCUGAAUUUGUAAUAAUUAGGGCAAGCUAAACAUUCAUUAUAAUAAGACCAUGGAUGUGUCCCUAGACCUAGUUUUUUUU